rnacentral:lncRNA from 1 species
UGCACUGAAUCAGGUAGGCAGGGGAAGCAAGAUGAUGUCCUGGACACCAUGUUCAUGUUUCUGUGGCUCUGGAACUUCACUGUCUUAAUAAUUGUAGAGUUGGAAAAUCCAUUAAAACAUGUACUGGGAAAUUAUGGUGAAUUCCAAUAUGGGCUUAAUUAUGAGGUCAUCACACAUCCCUGGAGAAUGGAUGUUAAAUGAUAUUUCAAAGUACAAAUUAUGAAAUGUGUGUGAGUGUGUGUGUGUGUGUGUGUGUGUGUGUGUAUGAGAUCAUGGUCCAUUCCUGAUUUGCCUGAUUAAAGGUGCCCUUGAGGACAAUGUUAUGUCCCAGUCUUCAGGCUCCCUGGCUGUGUCUGCACGACACAUGGUCACCAUCAGCUGCAAGUCCAGCCUGAGUCAUAUCAACCACAAGGACUAUGUGGCCUGUCCCCAAAAGAAGCCAGGACAGGCUCCAAGGCUUCUCUCCUGGGCAUCCAAAUGGACUGCUUGAAUCCCAUGCAGCUUAAGGUGCAGUAGGUCAGGAGCAGAUUUCACUCACCAUCAGCAGCUCCAGGUUGAGGAUGUGGCAGAUUGUUCCUGUAGCAGCACCACAGUGCUCCUCCCAAGAGCCUCAGCCUCAGACACAAACUUCCACCAGGCUGAAGGUCAGGGAGCCUUUGCUCAGCUACUUCCCCCUUAUAGGGCCCUGAGGUUUCCUGCUUCCUCUCC